UACGUAGGGGGCAAGCGUUGUCCGGAUUUAUUGGGCGUAAAGAGCUCGUAGGCGGCCUGUUACGUCUGCUGUGAAAUCCCGGGGCUUAACCCCGGGCGUGCAGUGGAUACGGGCAGGCUGGAGGCAGGCAGGGGAGAACGGAAUUCCCGGUGUGAGCGGUGAAAUGCGCAGAUAGUCGGGAGGAACACCGGUGGCGAAGGCGGUUCUCUGGGCCUGUACUGACGCUGAGGAGCGAAAGCGUGGGGAGCGAACAGG
rnacentral:rRNA from 1 species